UCUGGAGUGCUCACCUACACUAGGCUUGGGGACCAUGUUGGUGCCAUUUCCCCAGACUGGGUACUGACCUCUUCACAGUUCCCGUGGCGCCUGAAGGACUGGAGAGUUUAUGUUCCCAUGUCUCCUCUGGGUGUUGGCCAGAGCUGUGAUCACCAUGACGGGAAUCCUCCUUAUUUGCUCCUUAAGCAAAUAAUCCUUGUGUUUUUGAUUAUGCCCUUAAUCUUUGUCCUGAACUGCUGAUCUUCAGAGGGACCCAGGAGAAGAUGAGUCCACCGUUUCUACUGGGGAAAAAAAAACAAAACAACAACAACAAAAAAACACAUCAAACUGUGGGACACUGGAUGGGUGGAUGGGCUAGGCCUGAAAAGAGAUUGCCAAAUACAAGUCCCUUCCAGAUGAAAAGUGGAUCCUUUAGGAAAAGGAGCUGUCAUCUUCAAAGUCAUCUCAUGAUCCGAAAAUGGCUGUUGCAGCUCCAGCCAACAGAGACACCCUGAAAGCCAGAAGAAGGAAGAAAGGCAAAGAUUCAUUAUCUUGAAUUUUUCAAUCUUCCGCUUUUCUUUAUAAUUUUAUUACCUGUAAGUAUACUCCUAAAAACCUUAUUUGGCCCACAGAGUAGGAGAAAAUCUUUGCAAUGAAGCAACCGACAAGGGAUUAAUCUCCAAAAUAUACAACAUCUCGCACAGCUUUAUAUGAAAGAUCCAAUCAAAAACUUUUCAGAAGAUCUCAAUGGACAUUUCUCCAAAAAAGACAGAUAGAUGGCUAAAAAGCACAUGAAAAGAUGCUCAAAUCACUAAUUAUUUAGAGAACUGCAAAUCAAAACUACAGUGCACUCCACAGAAAGUCUACAAACAAACGCCAGAGAAGUUGUGAAGAAAAGGAAACACUCCUACAAUGUUGGUGGGAAUAUAAAUUGGUGCAGCUACUAUGGAAAACAAUAUGGACGUUCCUUUAAAAACUAAACAUGGAACUACCUAUGAUUCAGCAAUCCCACUCCUAGGCACAUAUCUGGAGAAAAUCAUAAAUUGAAAAGAUAUGUGCACCCCAGUAUUCAUUGCAGCACUAUUUACAAUAGCCAAGACAUGGAAGCAGUCUAAAUGUCCAUAAACAGAGGAAUGGAUAAAGAAGAUGUGGUACAUAUGGAAUAUAUAUGGAAUAAUGGAAUAUAACUCAGCCACAAAAAAGAAUGAAAUAAUGUCAUUUGCAGUAACAUGGAUGGACCCAAAAACUGUCAUACUAAGUGAAGUCAGAUAGAGAAAGACAGAUGUUAUAUGAGGUUACUAAUACAUGGAAACUAGUAAAAAUUGUAUAAAAGAACUCAUGCACAAAACAAAAACAUACUCAAAGAUUUCAAAACCAAACUUAUGAUUACCAAAUGGGGAAUGUUGGGGGGAAGGAUAAAUUGGGAGGUUGGAACUGACAUAUAAACACUACUGUAUAUGGAAUGGAUGCGUAACAAGGACCUACUGUAUCGCACAGGGAAAUCUACUCAAUACUCUGUAGUGACUUAUAUGGGAAAAGAAUCUGAAAAGGAAUGGAUAUAUGUAUACAUAUAACUGAUUCACUUUGUUCUAUAUCUGAAACUAAUGCAACAUUGUGAGUCAACUAUACUCCAAUAAAAUUUUUUACAAAAG
rnacentral:lncRNA from 1 species